rnacentral:rRNA from 1 species
CAGUAGCCGCGGUAAUACGUAGGUCCCGAGCGUUGUCCGGAUUUAUUGGGCGUAAAGCGAGCGCAGGCGGUUUGAUAAGUCUGAAGUUAAAGGCUGUGGCUCAACCAUAGUUCGCUUUGGAAACUGUCAAACUUGAGUGCAGAAGGGGAGAGUGGAAUUCCAUGUGUAGCGGUGAAAUGCGUAGAUAUAUGGAGGAACACCGGUGGCGAAAGCGGCCCUCUGGUCUGUAACUGACGCUGAGGCUCGAAAGCGUGGGGAGCGAACAGGAUUAGAUACCCCCGAGUCCCUGUCUCUUAUACAC